AACUUUCAGCAACGGAUCUCUUGGCUCUCCCAUCGAUGAAGAACGCAGCGAAAUGCGAUAAGUAAUGUGAAUUGCGAAUUCCAGUGAAUCAUCGAAUCUUUGAACACACCUUGCGCCCUUUGGUAUUCCGAAGGGCAUGCCUGUUUGAGUGUCA
rnacentral:rRNA from 1 species